GGGCCGUUAGCUCAGCUGGUAGAGCAGGAGACUCUUAAUCUCAAGGUCGAAGGUUCGAGCCCUUCACGGCCCA
rnacentral:tRNA from 1 species